CACGUAAGCCCCGAGCGUUGUUCGGAAUUAUUGGGCGUAAGGGGCGCGCAGGCGGCCUGGCAAGUCUGGGGUGGAAUCCCGGGGCCCAACCCCGGAACUGCCUUGGAAACUGCCGGGCUGGAGUCGCCGAAGGGAAGCCGGAAUCCCUGGUGUAGGGGUGAAAUCUGUAGAUAUCAGGAAGAACACCGAUGGCGAAGGCAGGCUUCCGGCGGACGACUGACGCUGAGGCGCGAAGGCGCGGGGAGCAAAC
rnacentral:rRNA from 1 species